GGUUAAGUGACUAAGCGUACACGGUGGAUGCCUGGGCAGUCAGAGGCGAUGAAGGACGUACUAACUUGCGAUAAGCGCAGAUAAGGCAGUAAGAGCCGUUUGAGUCUGCGAUUUCCGAAUGGGGAAACCCAACUGCAUAAGCAGUUACUGUUAACUGAAUACAUAGGUUAACAGAGCAAACCGGGGGAACUGAAACAUCUAAGUACCCCGAGGAGAAGAAAUCAACCGAGAUUCCGGUAGUAGCGGCGAGCGA
rnacentral:rRNA from 1 species